rnacentral:lncRNA from 1 species
GCAGUACAAAUCCUUCAACAGCUCUAAGCACCAGAAAACUUAUGCACAGGGCACUUCUAAAGAACUGACCUUCAAAGGAUCCAGGAGAUCUAAAAGUUUCCCUUCGAGAGUGAUUGAAUGUUUGACUAGGCAACUGCUACCCCCAAAGGGCUACAUGAUUGAAGUCUUCUCGAUUUCAGGACUACUUCAUAUGGAGUCUAUACCCCAUUCUUAGUCGACUUGAGUUGGGGAUCCUUCUAAAGGGAAAAGAAAGGUACUGGGUGAAUUCGAGCCAAUUACAGAUUUCAAAAUAUCCCACUCCCCUAGGAGUUUUACCUCUGAUUCUAUAUCUUUAUUUAUCCCUCGUCAUAACGAGGAAUUAGAUUCUUAGAUUUUCUCGAUGCAUCAUCUUGUAUCUAGGGCAGCAAAAUUUGCAUACGCUUACUUUAAUCAGUCUUAGAAAAGGCUCGUGGAGGAGCCUAUCCUUAUACAGAGGAAAAAAUGAUUGACGCUUAUUUCAUACGAGCUAUUGUUCUACACCACAAUCAAUAAGCUGAGUAUGAGGCUUGCGUUUUGCAAGUGACAAUCUAGACAAAAAGGUUAACUCUUUGAAAAAGAGAGGUGAGGUCCUUCAAAGAAAAUUAGAGAGGCCAUAAACAAAAAGGCCAAACAUAAUGAGAUGAGCAAGGGUUAUCAGGAUAUUUCUUUAAGUGGGAUCGUGGCUAUUUCAAAGCUUCCUGGCAUUCAUGCUUUCGCUCCUCCAUAUUCCAAGGAGAUUAUAUCUUCAAAGGGUAAUGUUCUAGUUAACUAAGACGAUCCAGCUUUUGGAAUCUUCAGGCUUUUGUUAACUUGGAGAAAUAGCUUGGUGUUUGUCUAAUCUACUUAUUGUUGUGAAAUUUUUGUCGUUCCUUUUUGUGUAAAUUGUCUACAUUGUUUACUUCAUUUGGGUUCUCAUUAUUUAACUUACUUAAUGUUCAGUUAUGCCUUGCAUAAGCGUCUUUAUGUAUAUUAUUA